ACCUGGGUGGCUCAGUUGGUUGAGCGUCCAACUUUGACUCAGGUGAUGAUCUCACAGUUUGUGGGUUCGAGCCCCGCAUCGGGUU
rnacentral:tRNA from 1 species